CUCCCUGUAGUUUAACGGGAUAGAACAGGUCCCUCCUAAGGACCAAAUCCAGGUUCAAGUCCUGGCAGGGAGG
rnacentral:tRNA from 1 species